CCCUCUUCACGCCCAAAAGGUUGGGUGUCCAUCUGGUGAAGGAUCAAGGCGUGGUGAUGCUUUGAACAGGAAGGCUGCAGGACUUCUUCGACAGGCUGCUGCUCCAACUUUAGGAAGACUUUUGAAGAUCUUCCUAAUCAUAUUUAGUUCUAAUUUUUGGGAUAGAGAUUUUUGAGGAGAAGAUGAUCCAGAUCUUACC
rnacentral:lncRNA from 1 species